rnacentral:rRNA from 1 species
AUGUUCGCAUUUGCAGGUAUAGCCAGCUAACCCUUGUCUAUUUCUACCAUUUGUGAAUCCCUCGGCGGGGACGCCUGUCGCUGGGACCCUAAACUCUACUGUAUAAAAAGUAUCAAACCUUUCUGAACCUAAUUAAAAUUAUUACAACUUUCAACAAUGGAUCUCUUGGUUCUGGCAUCGAUGAAGAACGCAGCGAAAUGCGAUAAGUAGUGUGAAUUGCAGACUUUAGUGAAUCAUCGAAUCUUUGAACGCACAUUGCGCCCCUUGGUAUUCCAUUGGGCAUGCCUGUUCGAGCGUCAUUUAACCCUUCAAGCAUUGCUUGGUGUUGGGUGUUUGUCUAUAUCUAUGGUGUAGACUCGCCCUAAAAGCAUUGGCAGUAGUUUGCCGGCCUCUCGCGCAGCACUUUGCGCUCUUUGAGGUUUUGGCGGGCUUGACUUCCAUCAAGAUCUUUUACUAUUUUGACCUCGAAUCAGGUAGGGAUACCCGCUGAACUUAAGC